AUGUGCAGGGAGCUGUGUCUGAAAAAUGCCUCAGGUUUUGAUUCUGAAUAGUCCUCCCCUUCUCAAUGGCUUGUAGUGAUCUGUGUGCAGCUCACCUGGAACAUCCACUGGUGGUUCAGGCACUCUAAAACUGGAAUCCUUCCUGCAGUGCAUUUCUGCUGGCUUCACAAGUCUGCAGCUCACAGAUGUUGCCAAUUUCAAGCCACCAGAGCAGAAAGGAACACCAGGAAGAAAGAGAGGGAUGAAAACUGGUCAAGACUACAGGUCUGGUGUCUAUGGGCAGGACCAGAGCUCACUUGCAUGUGCAGAUGUUUGUUUUCCCAAGGACAUACUGAUGUGCCACUGCAGGUGACAUGGAGGGGCAGAAAGAGGGAAGCCCCUGACCUGCACUGAAUCAGUUCUCACAAGUGAAAAAUAGAGAUCAUUUUGUUUUGGCAUGUCAAGGCUGUUCUGGAAUCAAGGAAUAACAG
rnacentral:lncRNA from 1 species